rnacentral:sRNA from 12 species
AGAACGGUUGCUGAGUAAAGCUUAACAGCGUAAAAAACCGUCGCCGGACACGAUCGAAGAGG